rnacentral:rRNA from 1 species
GGCCGGUAUGAAUGGCAUCACGAGGGCCCCCCUGUCUUAAGAGGACUCUCCAUGAAAUUGAAUUCGUAGUGAAGAUGCUACGUCCAUAUUGUAAGACGAAAAGUCCCCAUUGAGCUUUACUAAAGACUUAUAUGGCUCGAAUAACUUAAAUAAAAAGUUUAGAUAAUGUGGGAUCUGUUUUUGGUUAAUGAGACACCACUCUUUUAUUUUAAGAGAACUAACCUUAUAGGGAGAAUGUAAGUUAGAUAGUUUGGUUGGGGCGACCACCUUUUAAAAGGUAACGAAGGUGAGCUUAAGGUCCGUAGUUAAUAGCUAGAGGCCUGACUGCAAGGGGGACAUCCCGAGCAGACACAUCCUUAAGGA